rnacentral:rRNA from 1 species
AUUGAACGCUGGCGGCAGGCUUAACACAUGCAAGUCGAGCGGGGUAAUGGUGCUUGCACUAUCACUUAGCGGCGGACGUGUGAGUAAUGCUUAGGAAUCUGCCUAUUAGUGGGGGACAACAUCUCGAAAGGGAUGCUAAUACCGCAUACGUCCUACGGGAGAAAGCAGGGGAUCACUUGUGACCUUGCGCUAAUAGAUGAGCCUAAGUCGGAUUAGCUAGUUGGUGGGGUAAAGGCCUACCAAGGCGACGAUCUGUAGCGGGUCUGAGAGGAUGAUCCGCCAAACUGGGACUGAGACACGGCCCAGACUCCUACGGGAGGCAGCAGUGGGGAAUAUUGGACAAUGGGGGGAACCCUGAUCCAGCCAUGCCGCGUGUGUGAAGAAGGCCUUAUGGUUGUAAAGCACUUUAAGCGAGGAGGAGGCUCUUUUGGUUAAUACCCAAGAUGAGUGGACGUUACUCGCAGAAUAAGCACCGGCUAACUCUGUGCCAGCCGCCGCCGUAACAC